rnacentral:rRNA from 1 species
GACGAACGCUGGCGGCGUGCCUAACACAUGCAAGUCGAGCGAGGAGAUUCCUUCGGGAUGAUCCUAGCGGCGGACGGGUGAGUAACACGUGGGCAACCUGCCUCAUAGAGAGGAAUAGCCUCCCGAAAGGGAGAUUAAUACCUCAUAACAUUGCAGUUUCGCAUGGAACAGUAAUUAAAGGAGCAAUCCGCUAUGAGAUGGGCCCGCGGCGCAUUAGCUAGUUGGUGAGGUAACGGCUCACCAAGGCAACGAUCAGUAGCCGACCUGAGAGGUUGAACGGCCACAUUGGAACUGAGAAACGGUCCAGACUCCUACGGGAGGCAGCAGUGGGGAAUAUUGGGCAAUGGGGGAAACCCUGACCCAGCGACGUCGCGUGAGGGAAGAAGGUCUUCGGAUUGUAAACCUUGUCAACAGGGAAGAAGCAAGUGACGGUACCUGAAGAGGAAGCCACGGCUAACUACGUGCCAGCAGCCGCGGUAAGUCACACUACA